GAUGAACGCUGGCGGCGUGCCUAAUACAUGCAAGUCGAGCGAACAGAUGAGAAGCUUGCUUCUCUGAUGUUAGCGGCGGACGGGUGAGUAGCACGUGGGUAACCUACCUAUAAGACUGGGAUAACUCCGGGAAACCGGGGCUAAUACCGGAUAAUAUUUUGAACCGCAUGGUUCAAUAGUGAAAGACGGUUUCGGCUGUCACUUAUAGAUGGACCCGCGCCGUAUUAGCUAGUUGGUAAGGUAACGGCUUACCAAGGCGACGAUACGUAGCCGACCUGAGAGGGUGAUCGGCCGCACUGGAACUGAGACACGGUCCAGACUCCUACGGGAGGCAGCAGUAGGGAAUCUUCCGCAAUGGGCGAAAGCCUGACGGAGCAACGCCGCGUGAGUGAUGAAGGUCUUCGGAUCGUAAAACUCUGUUGUUAGGGAAGAACAAAUUUGUUAGUAACUGAACAAGUCUUGACGGUACCUAACCAGAAAGCCACGGCUAACUACGUGCCAGCAGCCGCCGUAA
rnacentral:rRNA from 1 species